AAUGUGGCCCUAGUGUGCCUGGCCAACAGGGGCUUCCCGGAGGGCUGGAAGCUGGGUUGGAGGCUGGGGGUCGGGGGGGCCUUGCAGGGCAACCAGAGCCUGGAGGUCCUGGAGAAGGACGGUCACUACAGCUGGAGCAGCAGCCUCACYCUCCCCACUGACCAGUGGAGGAAGGCUGGCUCAGUCACCUGUGAGGCCACCCUAAAGGACCAGGCCCCCGUCACUCACACACUGGAGCCACACCACUGCUCCCAGUAGACACCCUGUACACAGAGAACACCUACCUAUCUGUCAUUCUAUCACUCUAAAUAUCUAUCUAGAGCUUCAACCCUGGUCAUCAAUCUGGGAUUCUGCAUCUUUAAAUUUGUACCUGGGUUUUAUUGCUUUUGCUUUUAGAUUGGAGAUGUUAACACAAUAAAAUACUUUGUAUUAAUGUCAAA